UAUUUCGUUGACCUUUUACAUCAAUCGGCUUUAUUUAUCUAUUUAUAUUUUUUAGUAUUGUUUUUGAUUUUGGGAUUUUUGAAUUUUAAUAGCAUGUUUGGAUGAAAGAGAAAGAAGCGGAGGAAGAGAACAAAAUAAUGUAGUCUAAAAAUAAGUUAAUCCUGUACUAAAUCUACUCUGUACCCUUCAUCCAAACGGACAAGGUUUUAAUGGAGGAAUUGUGUCUUUGUUUACAUAUUUAAUAUUUGCAAUUCAGAAUCGAAGAUGAGCAUGGCCAUGGCGAUACGAUGGUCUCCCCUUCCUUACAGAACACCCAACCGCCUCCAAAAUUCUUUUCUCCUAACCCUACCAGGUAUUAUUGUAAGAGAAACAAAAAAUAUAGUGUUGCAUGUUUCCGUUGACUCUUGAGGGAGAGAGAAACAGAAAAAAAGCCUUUUUUUUUUUAGGGGUUCAGAUUUUAAAUUUUCAUCCAAACAUGGCUUCAGGAUCUCUGUGUUCCACCGAGGCUCUGCUUCUGUUGUGAAGGAUCUUAAGGAUCUUGACUCUCAUGAGUGGAUUAACGUUGAGGGGAAUUCUGAUACUGUUGGCAUAACCAACCGUGCUCAGGAUUAUUUAGGUGAUGUUGUCUGUUGAAUUACUAGAAAUGGGGGCUCCUGUAUCACAGGGCAGCAGCUUUGGUGUGGUUGAAAGUGUCAAUACUACUAGUGAUAUUUAUUGUCCCAUUUUUUGGAAAGUGGUUGAAGUAAACUAAGAGCUCGAUGACUCCCUGGGUCUGGGUUUUAUUGGAGGAAUUGCGAUUGCCAUCAUUAGGAGUGAAUCUUAGCAAGCCUCUGUACGUUUGUGUCUCUGUGUACAAGGGCAUUUCCUCUUAUAUCAUCUAUUCCAUCAAAUUGAGUAAUGUACUACCAUCCUGCAAUGCACCAACAUCAACAUUAACCCAAUGCCAUAUCAAUUAGAAAAGCUGAGAUUUGGAUUUGGAUCUCUCAUAUAUGCAUUAAUUAGUUAAAAUGGUUGAUCUAUGAUUCUUUGAUCAGAAUGUUUCGUUUUUGGAAAUUGGGUUGGUUUGUUUUUGUCAUUGGUAUCAUAUAUACCAUGUUUUUUUUUUUUAAUUACUGCUGAGGUCAAUGGGUUCUUGAAUUUGGGCAUUCAUAAAUCAACAUACUCUGUGUAUGUGAAAGCUAUACUAUACUGCUGUCAGUUUCUUGUUGUGCUGGAAUUGUGAUUAAUCUUAGGUCGAUUAUUCCUAUAAUUUUUUUUUUCUUUUUAAUGAAAAAUGAAACCUAAGCCAUUGUCUGUCACAUAUAAUUUGUUGAAAAUUCAAACCCAAGUGUGAUUGUUUGGAGGUAGUUGCUGUCAGUAUGGACAAUGAUCUUUUGCUAUAGUGGUGGAAAGUGUGGUGUGUAUUUUUUUAAUUAAAUCAUAUGAAAUAUAGGCUGUGUGAUAUCUCAAAUGUAAUAUGAUUGUUGAACACACCAAUACCAUGAUUAUUAUUUGACUUAUUGAACACACUUCUUUGAGAUUUAAAUUUGUCAUGGGACUACUUAUCCAAAAAAAAAAAAAAGGUCAUGGGACUAAGAUACUAGUGGCUCAUUUUUUAAGAGAAUUUCUAAGAACAAAGAAGGAAUUGUAUAGAUGUAAAAGGGUUUUAAAUGUUUUUGAAGCUUAACUCGCCAAAUUCUUAAUUUGUCAGUGCAUUGCUCAUCUCUCUCUCUCUUAAUGCUUUUAUUGGAGUUCUGUUUUCUCAUAGGAAGUUAUCUGAUUAAAUUUCUAAUUGAUAUAUCCAUAUGGAAUAAAGAUGGUUCUCCAAUACAAAUGAUAAUCUAGUUCAUUGUCUUGUAGUAUGCAGCAAUAUCUUUUCGUUUCUAGAUAUAGAAUCACUUAAGGGGAAGAAGCUUUACUAUAGUGGAGUGAUGUUGUGUGUGUCGGUGUAGUGGAGAGGCAGUGGAUCACUUGUUGGUUCACUGCAAGGUUGCGUACCAAUUGUGGAGUUUUGCUCUGAGAUCUUUUUGUGUCUCUUGUUUUACCUGAGAGAGUGGUUGACCUUUUGUUUGGGUGGUGCAAUUGGUUGGGGAAGCACUCCUCGGGUAUUAGGAACUUGGUGCCAUUAAGCUUGAUGUGGACAAUCUGGAGGAACGAAACAGGCGUACAUUUGAGGAUUUGGAGAGUAUGGGGGACAAGCUCAUUGCCUCAUUUAUAGACACUUUGUUUGAUUGGUCUCAUGCUUAGGGAUUCACAUCUAGUGACUCCAUUCCAUGUUUUUUGAGUCUCUUUCUUGUUGUACAUAGCUUCUGUUUUUUUGGCAUAAUUAUUUUUGCUACUAUAUGGUUUCUUUUUUUAAAUAAAGUAUUCUUGUCUAUCAAAAAAUUAAUUGUUGAGAUGGGAUCUUUUUUGGUUUAUUAGAAAAUUGAUCUGCUUUCUCCAUGUUACAUGUGGUUGUGAAGGAUCUUAAGUACCUUGACUCUCAUGAGUGGGUGAAAGUUGAGGGAAAUUCUGCUACCGUUGGUAUAACCAACCAUGCUCAGGAUCAUUUAGGUGAUGUUGUCUACAUUGAAUUACCAGAAGUGGGAGCUCCAGUAUCACAGGGCGACAGCUUUGGUGUGGUUGAAAGUGUCAAGGCUACUAAUGAUAUUAAUUCUCCCAUUUAAGGGAAAGUGGUUGAAGUAAACGAAGAGCUCAAUGACUCCCCUGGUCUGCCCAUAUGACAAAGGAUAGAUAAUUAAGGUUGAGGUGAGCGAUAGUGGUGAAUUGAAGAGCUUGAUGGAUGCAGAUAAGUACACCAAGUUCUGUGAAGAAGAUAAUAUUCACUGAGUGACUAUGGCCAUGAAGAACUUUGGGCAAUUUUCAUGUAGGGGUUGUUCAUGGAUAAUCACGAUAAAUUACACAAUCCUUGAAGUGUGUGGUGCACAUAUCUUUCUUUCUAUUUUUAUCCAAACGUGUGCUUUCACGGUUCUUCUUUUGUUACCUAAGAGCUAUAAAUUUAGUGGAUUUCUUAAGCAAAUAAUCAUUCUGGGUUUUUAGUUUCAUCUAUUGGUGCUGUUUAGGCAGGUUUGUGGUUUGAGAACCAUUUUCAUAAUAUUCGUUUGAGUUGAAUAUUUAUUCAACAUAUGGGAUCUCAUUUUCUUGAUGCAUGGAGAACGCUUUCUUAUUCA